UUGAACGUGAUCUAAACAGAACCAUGCAGUGUGUGCUCUGUCUCCGUCUGGAUUCUCUUGUCCAGCUUUGUGAGAUCCAUGGACGGUGCGGCCUGAGGGGGACGUGGCUCUGCUGUGUGAGGCACGUGGUGUGAACACAUCAGCUUCCUCCGCCGCCAUUGAAGAAGGGCUUUACAGAUGGAGAAUCUGAGGCUUCAGGCAAGCGUCUAGAGGACGAAGCAGAGGGACGUUGCUCCCAGGGCCGACAAAUGUUCCCAUGCAGUGCCCACCCUCCCUCGCCAUGUGCUGCGUGUGCUUUAGGCUCGGGGCCGUGCCGCAGGGGGUCGUGGCAGAGAAGAAGUCUCGAGCGGGCAGCGCCCUUCUGCCAGAUGCCGAUGUCGGGUUCUUUCCCGGCUCUGCGUCCUCCGUGCCCUCCUCACUGUCCGCAGCGGUUUGAAGCACUCACCUCCGCCAAGUCGCCUUCUGGCAGUCCCUCUGGUGUGGCAUCUAUUAGCUCUUGAGUUUCUCCAAGACCCAUAGCUUUAUUUUCUAUUUUUUUUUAUUGAUUUAAACAUAUUUUUGAAGGGAAAGGGAGAGAGAGAGAAACAUUGACAUGAGAGUGAAAUAUUGAUUGGCUGCCUCCUGCACACCCUCUACCAGGGAUCAAGCCCACAACCCGGGACCAGGAAUUGGUGCACAGGACUACGCCUAACCCACUGAGCCACACCACC